ensembl:lncRNA
CUCCAAGUCCUCACCAAGGUGUGGCCCCGGGGCCCUGUCCGUCAUCGGAGGGGCUGCGGGCUGGGGACUCCAGGCCUGAGCCUCCUGCAAUCUCUGCUGCUGGUGCGCGUCCCAGAGCCCUGAUCCUGCGCUGUCGCUCGCCUGCUCACAGACCUGUGGUGGCCGCCAUGGCCUGUCUGUCCCAGACAGAGGAGGGCGCAGAGCAGAGAGGAUGGCCCUUCUGGCCAGCCCUACUGACACUCCUUCUCCCAAACAGCUGUGUGCCCCAUGGCUUUGCUCAGUCACCCCUCUGUGGUCCCUGCACUGCCUGUGGUGUGAACAGAGCAUUCCUGAAGCUGGGAGCCAGCUUUGGGAGGCAAGAAGGGGAGCUGCCCAGAUGGCUGGAGGCCAGGCGGGUGCGCUGCACAUCUGGGGCAGGCUCAGUCGCCGUGUGUCAGUGGCACAGGGCUCGUUUCCCGAGCCUCAGUCUCCACAUCUGGCCGAGUGCAGGUCGAGCGAGUAAGGAUUAAAAAGCCAGGGCGGGUAAAGCCCCCAGCGCGCUGCCGGGCACCCAGUCGUACCCAAUCGGCGGUAGGCAUUGGUGCGCAUCCUGCGCAAGGGCAUUCUUCACAGACCGAGAGCGCCUCUCUCCAGCGCUGGCCUUGACCUGGGACUUGCUGGGUGAGGGCCAGGCUAGUGGCAUCAGCUCGUGCACCCAUGAGGGAAUGCCUCAGGAAGAGGAAGUCACCAUCGUAAGAAAAGGAACACUCAUUCCUUCAAAAUUCUCAUCGAAAGGUGAGUUCUGGAUGCUGCCUGCUCACUGAGUGGCCAGAAAAGUGAGCUGUGUCCACUGGGAGUGAAGCGCAGGGACAACAUCCAUGUGGAAUGCUCAAGGGACUCGAAGUGACACAUUCAGAAAUUCAUUACAUUGUCAUUUUCCUGUUUUGCUUUCUGAUUAUUUCCUGUUUAUUUUCUGUAAAGGAAAACACUCUCCUAACAUACGUUUUCCCCAAAUAGAUAUUUUUCCAGCAGGGGCGAUUCAGUUACGGCCAAAUUUGAUUUAAGUACCUUGAGGAGUAGAGACUCUUCAAGGUCAGGUCUGAACAAGAGGGCAACCUUCACACCACGCAGGAGACUCCCUUUCCCCCUCGGGGAACUCGCCCGAGCCAGCCUACCUGUGGGACCUCCCUGUCCCUGGGCCACCAGCAGCCCUGUGUGAUCCUUCUUGGGGCCCCAGGAAAAAUAAAGGGUGCAGCCGGAGGAUUCUGCAGACAUUCGGGGCGAGUGUCCUGUCCCCUCUGCCCCCAGAGGUCAGGAAGGGUCUCCGAGGGGAACGGGAUGCUGAGCAUUUCAGGUGGGGGCACGCUGAGAGCCAGAACUGGGCUGGGCACCCUCCCAUCUAACUCCUCAGUGCCCCCAGCUGCCCAAAUCCUCUGGGUCCCACUGUGGCCUUGCCCGCUUGGCCCCUGCAUCCCCCCACCCCCACCCCACACACACCGCUGACUCUAGCCUCUCAAAUCCACUGCCACCCCUACCCCAGGCACUGUCCCUCUCUGAGGCCAGAUUGCUGUCCCCGUUCCCCAGCAUCACGGCGCUGCUCCCGUCUGUUGUCCCUCCCCCCACACAGUCAAUGUGACAGAUAUGCUCAGUCUCCUGGGCAUGGUUCCCAAACUCUUCCUGAAGUGACCCUGCAGGCUGUCUGCUGGCCAGCCACCUGUGGGCCAUGGCACUGCUGGAAGCUCCUGUUCUCUGGGCCUGGACAUUGUGUCCCCAAGCCUAGCACACGCCUGGCAUGGGUGGGUGCUCAGAAGUGUCUAUUGGUCUGUUGUGGUCCUUCCUGUCCAGGAGCUCUGGGAUGGGAGUGGACUGUGUGGGGAGUGUGGGACAGACAUGAACUUGACCCCCUUACAGAGUGACAGGAUGGUGACAGGGCCUGAACAGAACAGAAAGUGGAGGAAGGAAGAACUCGCCCUCCCUGCCUGAUGACUCGAGCUGGGACAUUGAUCUUCUUCUGGCCUCGCGCUCCUGGUUCCCAGGCCUUUGGACUUGGACCGGACUUCACCAGCUUCCCUGUGUCUCUACCUAGAAGACGGUGGAACUUCUCAGCCUGCGUAACUGUGUGAGCCAGUUCCUGGCAAUAAAUCUUUUC